GGGUUGUGAGGUUAAGCGACUAAGCGUACACGGUGGAUGCCCUGGCAGUCAGAGGCGAUGAAGGACGUGCUAAUCUGCGAUAAGCGCCGGUAAGGUGAUAUGAACCGUUAUAACCGGCGAUUUCCGAAUGGGGAAACCCAGUGUGAUUCGUCACACUAUCAUUAACUGAAUCCAUAGGUUAAUGAGGCGAACCGGGGGAACUGAAACAUCUAAGUACC
rnacentral:rRNA from 2 species